UGGGGAAUAUUGCACAAUGGGCGAAAGCCUGAUGCAGCGACGCCGCGUGAGGGAUGACGGCCUUCGGGUUGUAAACCUCUUUCAGUAGGGACGAAGCGCAAGUGACGGUACCUGCAGAAGAAGCACCGGCUAACUACGUGCCAGCAGCCGCGGCAAUACGUAGGGUGCGAGCGUUGUCCGGAAUUACUGGGCGUAAAGAGCUCGUAGGCGGUUUGUCACGUCGUCUGGGAAAUCCUAGGGCUUAACCCUGGACGUGCAGGCGAUACGGGCUGACUUGAGUACUACAGGGGAGACUGGAAUUUCUGGUGUAGCGGUGGAAUGCACAGAUAUCAGGAAGAACACCGAUGGCGAAGGCAGGUCUCUGGGUAGUAACUGACGCUGAGGAGCGAAAGCAUGGGUAGCGAACAGG
rnacentral:rRNA from 1 species